GACGAACGCUGGCGGCGUGCCUAAUACAUGCAAGUCGAACGCUGAAGGAGGAGCUUGCUUCUCUGGAUGAGUUGCGAACGGGUGAGUAACGCGUAGGUAACCUGCCUGGUAGCGGGGGAUAACUAUUGGAAACGAUAGCUAAUACCGCAUAACAGUAGAUAUCGCAUGAUAUCCACUUGAAAGGUGCACUUUCAUCACUACCAGAUGGACCUGCGUUGUAUUAUCUAGUUGGUGAGGUAACGGCUCACCAAGGUGACGACACAUAGGCGGCCUGAGAGGGUGGACGGGCACAAUGGGAAUGAGGCACGGGCCAGGCUUCUUCGGGAGGGAGCAGUAGGGGAUCUUCGGCAAUGGGGGGAAGGCUGACCGGGCAACGCCGGGGGGGGUGAGGAAGGUUUCGGGUCGGAAAGCCCCGUUGUAUGGGAAGGAAGAGAGUGAGAGUGAAAAGCUCACACUGUGACGGUAUCUUACCAGAAAGCAACGGCUAACUACGUG
rnacentral:rRNA from 1 species